rnacentral:pre_miRNA from 1 species
CCUGAUUUCCGUAUCCAACGUUUGACCGUCUGUCUUAUUUAAAAAAUUAUGAAAAAAAUUAAAAAGACAAGUCACGCACAAAAUAUUAAUCAAUGUUUUAUCAUCUAACAAUAAUAAAAAUACGAAUUAUAAAAAAAAUUUCAUAUAAGACGGACAGUUAAAGUUGGACACGGAAACCUAGGGUUUGCCUUUUU